UGCCCCAUGGCUGAGUUGGUUACAGCGUCCGACUGUUAAGUCCUUCGGGAUCAAGUACAUCGGAAGGUCGUGAGUUCGAGCCUCACUGGGGCAG